UCGUGGGAAGGGGCGCCGGCCCAUAUAAUGGGCGUCGAACGCGCAGCGAACGGUGCUUGCACCUUUCAAGUGAGUGGCGAACGGGUGAGUAACACGUGGACAACCUGCCUCAAGGCUGGGGAUAACAUUUGGAAACAGAUGCUAAUACCGAAUAAAACUUAGUGUCGCAUGACACAAAGUUAAAAGGCGCUUCGGCGUCACCUAGAGAUGGAUCCGCGGUGCAUUAGUUAGUUGGUGGGGUAAAGGCCUACCAAGACAAUGAUGCAUAGCCGAGUUGAGAGACUGAUCGGCCACAUUGGGACUGAGACACGGCCCAAACUCCUACGGGAGGCUGCAGUAGGGAAUCUUCCACAAUGGGCGAAAGCCUGAUGGAGCAACGCCGCGUGUGUGAUGAAGGCUUUCGGGUCGUAAAGCACUGUUGUAUGGGAAGAACAGCUAGAAUAGGAAAUGAUUUUAGUUUGACGGUACCAUACCAGAAAGGGACGGCUAAAUACGUGCCAGCAGCCGCGGUAAUACGUAUGUCCCGAGCGUUAUCCGGAUUUAUUGGGCGUAAAGCGAGCGCAGACGGUUUAUUAAGUCUGAUGUGAAAGCCCGGAGCUCAACUCCGGAAUGGCAUUGGAAACUGGUUAACUUGAGUGCAGUAGAGGUAAGUGGAACUCCAUGUGUAGCGGUGGAAUGCGUAGAUAUAUGGAAGAACACCAGUGGCGAAGGCGGCUUACUGGACUGCAACUGACGUUGAGGCUCGAAAGUGUGGGUAGCAAACAGGAUUAGAUACCCUGGUAGUCCACACCGUAAACGAUGAACACUAGGUGUUAGGAGGUUUCCGCCUCUUAGUGCCGAAGCUAACGCAUUAAGUGUUCCGCCUGGGGAGUACGACCGCAAGGUUGAAACUCAAAGGAAUUGACGGGGACCCGCACAAGCGGUGGAGCAUGUGGUUUAAUUCGAAGCAACGCGAAGAACCUUACCAGGUCUUGACAUCCUUUGAAGCUUUUAGAGAUAGAAGUGUUCUCUUCGGAGACAAAGUGACAGGUGGUGCAUGGUCGUCGUCAGCUCGUGUCGUGAGAUGUUGGGUUAAGUCCCGCAACGAGCGCAACCCUUAUUGUUAGUUGCCAGCAUUCAGAUGGGCACUCUAGCGAAACUGCCGGUGAAAAACCGGAAGAAAGGCGGGGAACAACUUCA
rnacentral:rRNA from 1 species